ensembl:lncRNA
CAAGUUUCUCCUUUUCUGUUCCGGCACCUUCACAAAACCUUCACCAGUGGGUCACAUGAUGCUGCUCGAGCCCAGAAGCAUUCAGCUGAUGUCGAGUAGACAUCUUUUGUCUAAAAUACAACCCUUUCGCCGAGCAUUCCAUGAAUAAAAUGCCACCUUCCAGGGGGAUGAAAAGGGGUGGUGUUGGGAGUCAUGGCAACCUCUACCUGGCAUGAUGCCCAUCGUAAGGACAACAGGACACAGAAAUCAGCUGAAUUCAAACAAUGAUGUUAAGUCACUCAGAAGUUAAGAGAACAGGAAACAUCUUUUAACGAUGCUUUUGGAGUAAUUCUCGAGCGAAGCUGCACUGGAAUGCAGCGAAGAGCGCAUUCGCUUGCAGUCGGUAGUUGAGAAAAAAAACGCCCCGUCGGACUACAUGUCUCCCGUUGCCUGUGCGUGUGAAUGGAGUGACUCAGUGAAGCUUUAUUUCAAACACACAGACAGCGAUUCAUCAUCAAUACUGAAAACUAGGACGCAAACGGAUCAUCAACUACAGCAGCAGUCAAACAAAUCUAACGCCUGGAUGCCACAACUCAAGAGAGGCUUCUUAAACCUUCCCAGAGUUCAAAGUGUAAGUCGAGCAGUACAUCAUCACUCAGCAUCAUGUGGAAGUGUUUGAUCUUUCAGCUGCUGGAGAGCUCUUGAGUCUGACCCACGAUGCCCCAGUGCUGUCAAUAGGCAAACGCCCCGUCACGGCUCCUGCGUUCAGCUGCUUUUAUGAAACAUGAGGGACUUGGACCAAACACACAAGGAUGAAUGUCCUCACGUGGCUCUACUAACAGAGUGCUCUCUGUCUUCACCUCAAAUCCCUUUUGGCCCAAAUUCCUGACAGUACGCCAAGAUCCACCUCUCACACUGAAGAACGACGGAGAACCAGGAGGAACGGCUGAAGAAAUCAGUUUCAGCAUGAGACCGAACACAAGACGUGUCCUUGUAUCUCUUCAGUCUGGCGACAGACGGCUUAUUUGGGAAUUGCGUUUUCAAGCACUGCCAUCGCCAAUCACAACACAAACAGCUAAUGGACCUGCUGCCAGACAUUUUAUGCAAACCUUUAACAACAUGUUAGAUUUUCUCAUCUGUUUAAAUAUUGAAAAUGUUAUUGUAAUUGAAUAUUGAACCAUGCUUCUGACAAUACCACAAAUCUCAUUUAGGUUUUAUGGUGCAAUCAAACAGGCUCUUAAUUUCAGGGUUGAGGUGGGACACCAAAACAGCUCGUCUGGCUUUUAAGAGGGUAGUUUAAUCAAACAUGAACAUUUUGUCACCAUUUACCCUAGCGUAAGACUUUCUUUUAAAGAUUUUCAGCAAAACAUCUGAGCUGCUCUUUUCCAUACAAUUAAAGUGAGACAGGGACUGUCAAGCUCCACAAAGAAUAGUAAAUGCAUGACAAAAGCAGUACUCUGCUAUAUUCCAAGCCUUCUGAAG